rnacentral:rRNA from 1 species
UCCUACGGGAGGCAGCAGUAAGGAAUAUUGGUCAAUGGACGCAAGUCUGAACCAGCUAUGCCGCGCGAAGGAUUAAGGUCCUCUGGAUUGUAAACUUCUUUUAUCUGGGACGAAAAAAGGUCUUUCUAGACCCCUUGACGGUACCAGAUGAAUAAGCACCGGCUAACUCCGUGCCAGCAGCCGCGGUAAUACGGAGGGUGCAAGCGUUAUCCGGAUUCACUGGGUUUAAAGGGUGCGUAGGCGGGCAGGUAAGUCAGUGGUGAAAUCCUGGAGCUCAACUCCAGAACUGCCAUUGAUACUAUCUGUCUUGAAUAUUGUGGAGGUAAGCGGAAUAUGUCAUGUAGCGGUGAAAUGCUUAGAUAUGACAUAGAACACCCAUUGCGAAGGCAGCUUACUACGCAUAUACUGACGCUGAGGCACGAAAGCGUGGGGAUCAAACAGGAUUAGAUACCCUGGUAGUCCACGCCCUAAACGAUGGAUACUCGACAUACGCGAUACACUGUGUGUGUCUGAGCGAAAGCAUUAAGUAUCCCACCUGGGAAGUACGUUCGCAAGAAUGAAACUCAAAGGAAUUGACGGA